UGGGGAAUAUUGGACAAUGGGCGAAAGCCUGAUCCAGCGACGCCGCGUGAGUGAUGAAGGCCUUCGGGUUGUAAAGCUCUGUUGAGGGAGAAGAAAACAGUUAGAACUAAUAUGUCUAGCUCUUGACGGUAUCCCUUUAGAAAGCACCGGCUAACUCCGUGCCAGCAGCCGCGGUAAUACGGGGGGGGCAAGCGUUGUUCGGAAUUACUGGGCGUAAAGGGCUCGUAGGCGGCCAACUAAGUCAGACGUGAAAUCCCUCGGCUUAACCGGGGAACUGCGUCUGAUACUGGAUGGCUUGAAUCCGGGAGAGGGAUGCGGAAUUCCAGGUGUAGCGGUGAAAUGCGUAGAUAUCUGGAGGAACACCGGUGGCGAAGGCGGCAUCCUGGACCGGCAUUGACGCUGAGGAGCGAAAGCCAGGGGAGCAAA
rnacentral:rRNA from 1 species